CGUGAAGCGUCCGUGUAUCUGCGAGAUCUUGCUGUGGGCCAGGUAUCCAUUCUCCUGUGGCAGCCGUAGAACCUACGGAGACUAGAGGUCCGUGGGUGGUGGAGGAUCCUUUGCGUAGCAAAAAAGGAAGGCGAGUGCUCCUGCAUCCUCUCCAGACGAUACCCAGGUGAGUAGUACCCCCUUGAACCCACCACCCAUGCCCAACCUCUGAGCUUCCCCAUCCCAGUCUCUGGAGAAAAGAUUUCGUGCAGGUCUGCUGCUCACGUGAUUGUCUGUGUUCUGGUCUUGACUCCAUAUCAACCGCUACCCAACAUUUUCUGUCUCUCUCUGAGACGUACUAAGAUAUUCCAGACUCAGGAGGCCUAAUCUUACCUAACCCCUUGAAA
rnacentral:lncRNA from 1 species